rnacentral:lncRNA from 1 species
GCGGAAGCUAAAACCAUAAAAAAAACAUUUGUUACAAAUCCCUAAACCCGGUGUCACAAGUGCACGAGCUUCUAGAGUAAUACAUACAAGGGUCUGAAAUAAAUACAAAGUUGUCUGAAUGAAAAUACACAGCUAAAUAAAAAUAAAGACGGGGACUUCAGGAGCUGCGGGCGCUGAGCAGUUGUACCUCAAGUCUCUGCAGGCUAUCCAAUCCGAGCUCUCUAGUAGCUGCCGUCGGGACCAACUCCAAAAUCUGCACAGUGUGCAAAGUAUAGUAUCAGUACAACCGACCCCAUGUAAUAGUAAGUGUCGAGCCUAACCUUGACGAAGUAGUGACGAGGCUAAGGUGGGUCACCUACGCUACCACCUGAACGCAAUAUAUAAAAAUGAUAGAAAAUGGGAAUACUGAACAGAAUUAAGCAGCCAACUAAAAAUAAUAACCACAGCCUAAAGAAUAAACCAAUGUUGUCCAGAAUUACCAAUCUUUAAUAANNNNNNNNNNNNNNNNNNNNNNNNNAUGUAUGUGUGUGUGUGUUUUGCGCCGCGCAACCCAAUCCACCAUAUGUCAAUAUCAGUAUCAUAAUUCACCUUUAUUUCACCAUGUCAAUCCACCUGUAUUCCACCUGCUACGGCGUGCAACUCGAUCCUACCAUAUAGUAUAAAUUCACCAUUAUUCUGCCACAUCAAUCAACCCUUAUUACACCUGCUGCAGCGUGCAGCCUGAUCCCACCAUACCCAUACGAUGUACUCAAUGCACAGUCAAAUCAACAGUUCAAACCACAAUAACCCUAACGAUCAACAAAUACCAAACUGAACCAAAAUGAAACCUAGUACAAUAUAGAAAUCUACACGAGUAGUACUACACAACGAUACCAAUCUAGUAAUUGACAAUUAGAAGUUGCAAGUAAGUCAAUUUAAGCAAAUAGUAGGGAAUUAUGAAACUAUGGAAGAACUAACGUCGUGAACAAGAGAAGAUUUUGAAUAACAAGUAGCAAUUAUGCAUGGAAAGACAUUUAGAGCAUAUAACAGUUAAGACAGGAAAGGAAAUAAUUAAGGAAAAAAUGUAAAUCGGGGAAAACAGAUAAUUCGGCGGCGUAUAAGCACUCAUCACCUCGCAUAUAUGCCGCUCACAUGGAAAUCACAUAGCACAUAGUCUGAGGAUUCCUAAUUCCCUCAAGUCAAGGUUAGACACAACACUUACCUCGCUCCAAAGACCACUCAAACCUCAACCACAUCUUUGCCUUUCAAACUAGCCUCUGAACCAACAAUGUCUAGCAAAUUACCAACCAAACGAUUCAAAAUAAGCCUUAGGAUUCACUCACGAUUGCAAAAGACUCAAUUUAGGUCAUUAUUGAAAAAGUCAACACCCGAGAUCGCUUGGUCCAAAUCUGAAACUCGGACCAACACCCGAUUACCCCUUCACCCCCGAGCCCAGUUAUGUAAUUUAUUUUGGAAUCCGACCUCAAUUUGAGGUCUAAAUCCCCAAUUUACCAAAUCCCUAAUUUCUACCCAAAAGCCCCCAAUUCCACCAUGAAAACCUUAGAUUUUUGGUUUAAAUCUUGGAAAGAGUAGUGAAAGAUUGAAAGGAAAUAGGUUAGAAUCACUUACCAACGAUUUGGGGAAGAAAGAGUCUUGGAAAAAUUGUCUCUAAGGUUUUAGGUUUUGAAAAUUUGAAGAAUGAACUAAAAAUCCCUUCUAAGUCAUAUUUCAUCAGUUGCAGAUGUCGCAUCUGCGACCUUGGGUUCGCAAAUGCGAGCCCCGCAUAUGCAAGAAUCAUCACACAUCUACUUUCUUUGCAAAUGUGAAGAAUAGUUCGCAAAUGCGAACUCUGGCUUGAUCGCAAAUGCGACCCAGUGAUCGCAAAUGCGAAGUAUCCCCCUUCCAGCUCCUAUCGCAAAUGCGAAACAUUGUUCGCAAAUGCGAACUCUGGCUUCCCCAGAUACUCUUCGCAAAUGCGAUGAGUAGAUCACAAAUGCGAUGAGUAGAUCGCAAAUGCGACCCCAAUAGUGGUCGUAAUUGCGAUGAUUGAUCUCGCAAUUGUGAGAUCUGAGGCCUGCAACAAAAAUUGAAGCACACCAGCAAUAUUCUAAGUCCAAAUUCACUUCGUAGCCUAUCCGAAACUCACCCGAGCCCUCGUGGCUCCAAACCAAACAUGAACACAAGUCCUAAAACAUCAUACGAACUUGCUCGCACGAUCAAAUUGCCAAAAUAACAUCUAGAACUACGAAUUGAACACCAAAUCAAAUAAAAGUUUCAUGAAAACUUUGAAAUAUCUAUUUUCACAACAGGACAUCCGAAUCACGUCAAACCAAUUUUGUUUCUCACCAAAUUUCACAGACAAGUAAUAAAUAUGGUAUUGGACCUAUACCGGGCUCCGGAACCAAAAUACGGACCCGAUAUCCAAAAAGUCAACUAUGGGUCAAAACUUUCAAAUUUAUUAAGCCUUUAGCUUUCAUAUUUCAACAAAGUCCGAUAUCUCGGGCUAGGGAUUUCCGAAUUUGAUUUCCGGCAUACGCCUAAGUCCCAAAUUAUAAUACGGACCCACCGGGAUCGUCAAAAUAUGAAUCCGGGUCCUUUUUCUCAAAGCGUUGAUGAAAGUCAACUCAAAUGGUUUUCAAAGCAAAAUUUCAUAUUUUUCACAGUUUUUUAACAUAAAAGCUUUUCGGAAACACACUUGAACUACGCAUGCAAAUCGAGGAGGGUAAAAAUGAGAUUUUAUGGCUUCAGAUCACAGAAUUAGGUUUUAAAACAUAAGAUGACCUAUCGGGUCAUCACAUUUGAGUAAUUACCAAACUGAGUUUUGAGAAUUUGGGUAUUAUAUGAAGGACUUAUUCAACAAAUUUUGUUUUAAUUUUAAAAAGUCUCUCGGACUUACUCCUCACUAAAACAAAGCACCUCGAACGUCCGAUCGUACGCUCCGAACUCCCGGGCAUAUGCCCCGAAUUCCUGGGCGUACACCUCUUGAGACUUUCGCCCCACACCAUCGCCCCGGGGCUCUCCCCGAAAAUGCCUUUUAAAAUACUAAUAAAAACACUAUGAUUUCGGGUAAAUGUAGUUACAAGUUUGUAAAUUCACAUCCAAACUUUUGAUUUUGAUGAAUUAAUCGUCUCGUAAAAGAAUGUGCCACAUAAAUUGUAAUUGAGGGAGUAUCAAGAAGAAAUUUUAGCGUUAGGAGAGGAGUCCAAAACCUAAUUGUGAUAUUUUUGGACUCAAACGACAUAAAUAGGUAAACAAGAAACUAAGUACCAUUUUAUAUAUAGCAUGGUUAUUCACCACGUUAUACCUUAACGACACGUUUGUCCAUUAAGGUAUAGCGUGGUGAAUAACCGCACUUAAUUUGGACUAAAGAUUGGCGGGAGGUAUAGCGCACAUAUAGAAGACGCUAUAUUAUAGGGCAUUCUAUAUGUGCGUUAUGCCUAUAUAAAAAAUGUGACAUCUCCUUCCCCCACCAGAACGCGAACCAGCAGACUCCAAAAUCACCCCACCCCAUUUGUUAAGGAAAAAAUUCCAUUGGAGCCCACCCGUCCCACAAAAAGUGUAUUUUCUUCGUAUUGUAGUAAGUUAACACCGGAUUCAAGGCGUUGUCGUGUAGUGGAUCCUAUCGAUUGCUAGUUUCAUCCCCCAAAUCAUCAAAUUUUAAGAUUUCAAAAAACUUUAAAUCGAGGUAUUCCGACUUACUUUUUGGUAAAACGCAUGUAUAUAAAAUGCUUAUUAGUUGUUAUUUACUGUGGGCUAUGAGUUCUUGUUAUCGUUUUGUGAUUUAAUUAAUUUGUUGUUUUUUUAUCCGAAUUAGAUUAUUUAUGUGCAAAACAAUGAGUAAAAAAUAUAUAUGGUUAUUUUAUGAAUAAUUAUUAUUAUAUGUAAUUUUAUUGUUGUACGUAUAUUAAUAUGUUACUUUAUUGUUGUUUAGUGCCCUUUAAUGUUAUAUUGUGCCCUUAAUUGUUAUGUAGUUCCCUUUAGCAUAGUAAAAAUAAUAAUACAUUUUAGCAAAUGGUAGUUGACUUUGUUCGUGGUCAUUUAGAGUAGUGUUAUUAUAGUGCUUCUUAAGAUUCCGUUGUGUAGAAUAAAAACUAGGUGCUCUCCUUAACAAAUUCGGAUAGAGCACUCAAUUAUGGAUUUAAUAUAUCAGUAUAUAAUUAUCAAAUAUUAGAUAGGAAUCAUAAAAUAAUCAUUUGCCGGGAAAUUUGAGAAAAAUAUGAAAGUUAACAAACAAAUCGUUACGAAAUAAAUAAAUUCAAUAAUAUUUACUAUUAAGUUUGUAAUAUUUUUUAUAUGAUUAAUUAUUAAAUAAUUAUAAUAUAUCUUAGUAGUUAUUAAAUUAAUUAUUUAAUAAUCUUUUAAUCCCAAAAAUAUCUGGAAAAAUAAUAAUUGUUCAAACACAAAACCUCUCGAAUUUUAGUCAACAAUUUUAAAAAAAUAACAUAAAAACAACAAUAUAGAAAAUUUGUCAAACAAAGUAUACCCAAAAAUAGCUGAGUAAGAAACAAACAUAUAAAAUAAUAAACUAACAUAUUAAAUAAUGUAAUAAACUAACAUAUAAAAUAAUAAUAUAAAAAAUAUAUCAAUCCAAUGGCACACCUCUUAACCGUUUGUUUAUACGACAUCUAGAUUAAAAAAUAUAAGUGUCGGAAGAAGGGUCAAUGAUAGGGUGUCAAGCUAGCACCUCUUUGACUUUUCAAAAGUUGAUAUAUUAAGGUCCUAGUCCGUCUUUCUAUUCAUUUUCCAUAUCACACGACCAUAGAAACCCAUAAACAUAUCCUUAAGCUCUCUUUUAGGGUUUCAAAGACGAUUAACAUCUUGGGUACGAAAUCAAGAAGCGAUAACAUUAGAACGAUCCCUAUGACGUAAGUAACGCUAUAUCGCCUCUCUAUUUCUUUGUAGUUUGAGUUUUGGAAGGUACUUCAUAGUUAACAAAACGUUUAAUUUCUGUAUUUAAACUUUUAAAUAUCAAAGAAGGUUGAUAAAUUUGUUUCCUAAUAGUUAAAACUCACGAGGCAGUGAUUGGAAGCCGUGAGUUCGAUUUAUUUCACUUUUAGUGGACUGCUUUGUAGUCCACUCGUGUUGGCCUAUUGUAAUGUUAAUUUAUGGAGUUUAGAAUAAUGAAGGGAGUGGAGAAACACAACAUGUGGUAGGGUAGUAGGAUGGUCGCUCGUAGUUGCAAUUUCAGGCUAAUUGAUAACUAGUUGAUUGGGUGUGUUAUGGUAUAUUUUGGGGUUUUGUUGUAUUGAAGGUGCCGAAUUGUAGUUGGGUUGUUUUUGAGUUAUUGAUUGUAUUGUGUUUGUAUCUAGCCUAUAGUAGGCUUGAGGGAGCAUUAAAAUCAGGGGCAUUGUUGCCCAUUUUAUUUUAGAAUCAAAUUAUCGUUUGAGAUACGUGAUAUACUAGCGCAUCUAAGUUGUACAUGUAUUUAUUUGUUAUAGAGUUGGUGCACUAGUUGUCAUAAGCUUGUUAGUUGCAUUGACGACUUGAGGUAUGUUAAGGCUAUCCCUUCUUUCCUUUUGGCAUGAUCCAUAUGAUACAAACGAAAUGAGCAAAUGUGCAACACUCAUAAAUGACUCUAUUCAUAGAAGUACUAGGGGUGCCUAUGUUAUUGAUUCCCCAUAUGUCCUACUAUCAUAUCGUCUGAUCAUGGGUCUCAUGACAUUUAUUGACUUAUUUCAUUAUGCAUUGUAUCCAUUUAUACAUGUAUACUGACCCAUGACCAUAUGGCGUUAUAUAUACGCGUAUAAUAUAUAUAUAUAUAUAUAUAUAUAUAUAUAUAUAUAUAUAUAUAUAUAUAUAUAUGAGACAUAGGGAAAGGUUAUGGCGUUAUAUAUGCACCACCACCUGAUCAGCUAGUAUACGUUGAUGAUUUUGCCCACAGAGGCCGAGAUGAUUUGAUGGUAUGCCCUCAGAGGCUUGAUGAUGUUAUGUAUGCAUAUACCUAUGCAUGAUAUGNNNNNNNNNNNNNNNNNNNNNNNNNNNNNNNNNNNNNNNNNNNNNNNNNNNNNNNNNNNNNNNNNNNNNNNNNNNNNNNNNNNNNNNNNNNNNNNNNNNNNNNNNNNNNNNNNNNNNNNNNNNNNNNNNNNNNNNNNNNNNNNNNNNNNNNNNNNNNNNNNNNNNNNNNNNNNNNNNNNNNNNNNNNNNNNNNNNNNNNNNNNNNNNNNNNNNNNNNNNNNNNNNNNNNNNNNNNNNNNNNNNNNNNNNNNNNNNNNNNNNNNNNNNNNNNNNNNNNNNNNNNNNNNNNNNNNNNNNNNNNNNNNNNNNNNNNNNNNNNNNNNNNNNNNNNNNNNNNNNNNNNNNNNNNNNNNNNNNNNNNNNNNNNNNNNNNNNNNNNNNNNNNNNNNNNNNNNNNNNNNNNNNNNNNNNNNNNNNNNNNNNNNNNNNNNNNNNNNNNNNNNNNNNNNNNNNNNNNNNNNNNNNNGUUUCAUGAUUCACAGAGUAUUCAGACUUACAUGUUGAGUUCUUUACUCCAUGUUUCUUUCAUGUCAGAAGCAACCCUACGAGCACAAGGGCGCGGAAGUAAGUAACGAAGGAUAAUUAUAGGCGAGUAAGAAUAUAAAAAAUACUUUCGAGUAUACGAUGUAAUAAGCUUGAAACUUUAUAGGAGUCAAAGGGUCCCCCCUAAGUACUACAAAGAAAGACUAACUGAGGAAAUAGGGAAAAAGGCUUCAACUUAAGCAUAGUGACAUAAAGAAAAAAUGGUCUUGUAACAACAGUCUCACAACAACAUUGUAUGCACUCCAUAAGAAAGUGGCACCUAUCGUGGCUAAUGAACGGGAAGAAAAAAAUAAUAAUAUUUGAGAUCAUGAGUUACAGGAAGUUCUAGUAUUAGUAAGCAAUGAGAUAAGCCAUGUAUUCAUGCAACAAGUGGCAGAACAACCAGGAAAAGUAAUUGCUUAUGUUUAAAGGCAAUUGAGAAGCCACGAAAGGAAAUAUAUGGUGCUAGCAAGUUAAAUGAAGGUUGCGAGUAGUAUGAAUAGAUAUGUGCAGGUCGCAAGCUAAAGUAUGGUAGAGCGACAAGGUUUUAGGUAGAUAGGAGUAAGGACAAGAAAAGGUGAGUGAGAAGGCGACGAGAAUAAGUAAGUCAUCAGUAUUAAACCCAUCAAAAUAAGAGAGUUGAUGGCUUCCGUAAGUUAUAGAAAGAUCGGUAUAGCCUUAAUGAAUGCAAAGGAGUCUAAGACUAGUAGUAGUUAGAAGAGAUGGAAUGCUUCCCUAGUAGUAGAAUAAGGGUGUAAUGGUGAUAAAUAAGAGGAUGAUGUUUAGACCUUUGAUUGAGUAACAAUUUUGAGAAAAGGUAUCUCAUGAUUUGCACGGGAUUAGAACCCAUAUGAUGAAUCACUUUGGAAUGCUAUGAAAUACGGUUAUUGAAGUAUUGUAUCGUCCCUAGGUGGAUCAGGAAAAUCACUUCAAAUGUUCCCCAAUGAGACGUGAGCCUUAGUGACAAUGUAUUAUGUAAGAAGUUUCAAGUUAUUAGUGGUAGAUUAUGGAUCAGAAUUAAGGUGAAUCAACAAUGGAUGGAUAAAAGUUACAAAGUAUGAUAUGGGAUUAGGCCGUUAUUCUUAAGAUGAAAAGUAAUGAGGAAGAACUAAAGGACUUAGAUUUAUACAUAUAGGAUAAGCAGCGAGAGAGUAACCUGGAGUUGGGUAGCAGACCUAGGUAGUAAUAAACCGAAGUAAGAGUUAUGGUAUAGUAUGACCUACCUAGUUGUAGUAAAACCAUAAGCAUAGAUAACCGAGGCUAUGAAACAAGAUAUAGCAAUAGUCGUAAGUUAGACAAAGUACCAAGUGAAGAACUUCAGUACACCUAUAGAUUCCCAGAGGGGUAGCUUGUCAUAGUGUUGUAUAUGUUCACAAAGUGAGGCCUAGAGAUUGGCUAAAAGCUAGACGAAAAAGGAGAGAAGAUUCGCAUAGGCGCACAUACAAGGACAAAGUCAUACAAGCUACAUGAUAGAAGGUAGCAACAGUUAAGAGAUUGGAAGAAUUCCGAUCACAAGUCGUGGUGUGAGAAAGAGGUCUAAAGGCGGGAAUGCCCUGACCUUUGGAUUUAUUCACAAAAUAAUUGCCUAGAUGGAAAGGACAAUAUUAAAGUAUUCUCAAGAGAUAUAGGUUAUGAGACUAAUAAGCACAUCAGUCAACAUUCGAGAACGAAUGUUCCAAAGGAGGGAAUGAUGUUACACCACAUGUUUUCGUACGUAAGAGUACGUUGUAAGACAAUUGAUGUAAACUCAUAAAUAAGAUAAUUUUUGAAAGUACAUAUGAUAGGUUAAUAAUGUUACCUUGGAGGCUACAAAUCUUUAAGAUCAUGGAUAACAAGUACCAAGAGGGAUGGAAAUCUUAGAUGCUAAACGAAUUGAAGAAAAUAAGUUCGUCGAAAGUCGACAAGUUUGUAAUGUUAUAACAUGUACUUUUGGGGUGAGACUAGGGUACUUAACAUGAUAAGGAUGUUAUUUUAUGAGUUAUUUUAGUUGUAUGAUAGUCGCGUGUUACGUUUUGAAGUCAAGCGAGUUGUGAAACAAAAGUUGGCAGAGGUCAACACAAGUUACAUUCAUAAAUGUGCUGAAGAUUGGGUUAAAUAUAGCGGAGCUUUUCUCCCAAUAUACUUGGAAUUACGGGAUUAUACAUAUAUAAGAUUGAAUAUCUAUGAGUCUAUUUUCUAACGCAUUAAACCGUGUGUUGAUACGCCAUUGGAUUAGAGAGAUAUUUUCAGUUUUGGGAGACUGUGCAGACUGCAUAUGUGACAAGUAGGUGUGUCACUGAAGCUUUUUGAGAAAUAAAUUUUGUAUGUUAUAUGAAGUAUUUUUGGACAUAUUAUAUACAAAAUUAAAGGUCUUUUAAUUUAGUUUCCAACUCUCUUAAUCGUUCGUUUAUACGACAUCCAGAUAAAAAGAUAUAAGCGUCAGAAUAAGGGCCAAUGAUGAGGAGCUAAGGUCUUAGGUCGUCUUUAUCUUCAUUUUUCCAUAGCACGCGACCAGAGAACACCCAUAAACAUAUCCUUAAGCUCUCUUCUAGGGUUUCAAAGAUGAUUAAUAUCCUGGGUAUGAAAUCAAGAAGCGAUAACAUUAGAACGAUCCCUAUGACGUAAGUAUCGCUAUAUCGCCUCUCCUUUUUUUUUUGUAGUUUGAGUUUUGGAAGGUACUUAAUAGUUAAGAAAACGUAUACUUUCUGUAUUUAAACUUUUAAAUAUCAAGGAAGGUUGAUAAAUUCAUUUCCUAAUAGUUAGAACUCACGGGAUGGUGAUUGGAAGCCAUGCAUUUGAUUUAUUUCACUUUUAGUAGACUGUUUUGUAGUCCACUCGUGUUGGCCUAUUGUACUGCUAAUAUAUGGAGUUUAGAUGGAUGAAGGGCAUGGAGAAACGCAACAUGUGGUAGGGGUAGUAGGCUGGUCGCUAUUCGUUGCAAUUUCAGGCUAAUUGAUAACUUGUUGAUUGGGUGUGUUAUGGUAUAUUUGGGGGUUUUUUUGUAUUGAAGGUGUCGAAUUGUAGUUGGAUUGUUUUUGAGUUGCUGAUUAUAUUGUGUUUGUAUAUCGCCUAUAGUAGGGUUGAGGGAGAAGUCAAAUCAGGGGAAAUGCUGCCCGUUUUAUUUUAAAAUCGAGUUAUCGUUUGAGAUACGUGAUAUACUAGUGCUAUCUAAGUUGUACAUGCAUUUAUUUGUUAUAGGGUUGGCGCUCUAGUUUUCAUAAGCUUGUUGUUGAGUUGCAUUGACGACUUGAGGUAUAUUAAGUCUAUCCCUUCUUUUCUUUUGUCAUGAUCCAUAUGAUACAAACUAAACGAGCAAAUGUGCAACUUUCUUAAAUGACUUUAUUCAUAGAAGUACUAGAGGUGCCUAUGUUAUUGAUUCCCAAUGUCCUACUAUCAUAUCGCAUGUUCAUGGGUCUCAUGAAAUUUUGAGAGAUCUUAUUGACUUACUUCAUUAUGCAUUACAUCCAUUUAUACAUGUAUACUGACCCAUGACCAUAUGGCGUUAUAUACGCGUAUAGUAUAUGUAUAUGGGGUAUGGGAAAAUAUUAUGGCGUUAUAUACGCACCACCACCUGAUCAGCCGGUAUACGUUGAUAAUUUCUCCCACAUAAGCCAAGAUGAUAUAAUGGGAUGCCCUCAGAGGCUUGAUGAUGUUAUGUACGCAUACACCUAUGCAUGAUAUGAUAUUUAUAUGCAUAUGCAUGACAUUAUAAAUGUUUCAUGAUUCAUAGAGCUAUUCAAACUUAUAAGUUGAGUUCUUUACUCCAUGUUUCUUUCAUCUCUUAUAUAUACUGCUUUUCAUGCCUUACAUACUCGAUAUUUUAUUUGUACUGACGUUCCUUUUACCUGGGGAUGUUGCGUUUCAUGCCCGCAGGUCCCGAUAGACAGGUUGACAGUCCUCCUAGUAGGCUAUCAGCUCAGCGGAAGGUGUUGGUGCACUCCACUUACUUCGAAGUUGCCUAUUUCGUCAGUAUGAUUUGGACAUGUAUUGAUUGGUAUGGCGGGGACCUGUCCCGGCCUUUAUAACAUUUAUGUACUCUUAGAGGCUUGUAGACAGAUGUCAUGUAUAUGGAUACUUGUAUGGCCUAUAGUUUGAGUGUACAAAUGAUCAUGUCAGCCUUAUAGGCCCAUAUGUCACAUAUAUAAGUUUCUAUAUCAUGUUGGAUCGUCCUAUGUCUAGUAUUCCCUUAUAUUUUAUUCUCACUAUCUCAUGACGACGCGUCUGGCCCACGUACCCAUGACGGUAUGAUAAGAAAGAUAUGUUACAUUGGUACUCGAUUGUGCAAGGCACCGGGUGCCCGUCGCGACCCUGCGGUUUGGGUCGUGACAGAUUGAGCAUUGUUCACGGCUAUGAUAGAGCGGUGGUGACCGGAGACACACACGUUUCAUCUACCCAUCGGCGAGGCUAUUAUCACGCUUGAGGACGUAGAGGUUAUUUUUGGGCUGCAUGUCGAUGGAUUACCUGUAGCUUACUCGCAUGCUCUUAGAAACUAUAGGGGAGUGGAUUACCUACAUAUGUUGCAGAAUCUCACCGGUUUCCAGCCAGCAGAGCCGACUGCAUUGAGUGGGGCUAGUCAAUUAUAGCUGACACCCGUACGGCAGCAUCUGGCGGUGAUGGAUAUGGAUAUUGCGGAUGAUUCACCGUCAGAGGAUUUCGACCGACACACGAGAUUAUUGUUGUUGUUGAUGUUUGGUGGUGUAUUGUUCCCAAACACUUCGGAAAACCUAGUCAGUUUGAGAUUUCUACAUCAUCUGGAGUAGCUAGAUGAUUUACCUGGUUAUAGCUAUUCUAGGUUACCUGUAUAUACAGAUAUGUCGGGCGUGCAUGGGCACCCAGAGAAACGUUGCCGGAUUUUUACCGCUGCUGCAGGUGAAAACAUAGUCAACUCUUUUCAUGAUUAUAACAUACAUAGUAAAAAUAUAACUUAAAUUUUACGUCCACAAUCUAUAUUAGGUUUGGGCCUGGGAGCGGUUCCUGCAGUUCCAUCCACCUCUACCACCGAUCGCACCAGAUGCACCACCUCCACUGUUUCUCCCUUUAGCUUGGCGGUGGGUUGAUAGGAGAGGCUACGCACACGAGGUCGAGGCUCGACACCAUCUCCAUUAUUACAGGGAUUUGUUGGAUUUACUUAAAGGCGCGCAGGCACAUAUAUACUUAAGUUUACUUGGCCUGGAUUUAUAUGUGUUGCAUUUACUCAUGAUUCUUGUGUUUAAUAAAUAGUUCGUAUGGAGGCCAUAAACCGACGCACUCAUAGCUAGUUUGCCCGAUUAUUGCUCCCGUGGCCGAGCUAUGUUGAGCUCUUUCGCCCCACUGAUAUGUCUUGCCAUAGUCAAGCAUCAUGCCACAGAGCGAGUCCUUCGUCAGUUUGGUUGCCCGCAGCUUGUACCUAUUCCGCCCACUUGGCACGAGACACAUUACCAGCGGGAUGAUCGUUGCAGGGUUAACCAGACAUACAUGGCAUGGCUAGAGUUCGAGAUUGAUGUUUGGGACCAAAGGUGUGACCUGAUUCCACCAUACCUUCCACAUAAUCGUAUGGAUGGCGAGCAUGAGUACAUGGGUUGGUAUCGCAGAGUUACCCGACUUCUAAUCAGGAAUCCCGUUCAUCGCGCAGGUAGUCGGUACAUUCCAUACGUCGGGAGGCAUGUGGCACCAGUAUGUUAAUUGUUAUACAUACUUAUAACGUUACAUUAUUCUUCCGUAAUUAAUAUUUAAAUGUUAUGCAUACUAUUGGCUUACAUAAAUUCUACCAGCUGGGACUGCAGAUGCUGCAGCAUAUAGGCGAGGGAGCGUCAGCUUUGCACGUCUUUGGCCGUUGAGUUACUGAUCUUGCUGCCAACACAUUGAGAAGUGUCCGAGAGGAUGGGCUCUUAGGAUACGAGGCUGCUUAUAUGCCGCCCAAGGAGUACCAUCAUGGGCCACUAGUAGAGCCUGAACGUGAUAGACGUGGCAGACGUGGCCAAAGAGGAAGGGCUAGCCCACGAGGUUGUGGUAGUCGGCGAGGACGGGGUCCCCAGCAAGGGGGCGUUGAGGCACCCGUGGAGGGUAUUAGAGAUGAUCAACCAUGUGUUCACCCUGAGCCACACGAUGCUCCUCGUGAUAUGUCGUCAUUCAGCUUUCAGCUUAUGCCAGGGAUUUCGCAGGUGACCCCGUCUGCUCCAUUGUUGAUUGCAGGCAAGACCUUUACGCAGUAGGGGUAUAAUUAUUUCAUGUAUAACACAUGCAUAUUAGGCGCUAUAUAUGUAGCACGCAUACUACGUGCGCUAUACCCAUAUGAAUUAUUGGUAGGUCAGUAAAGUGCAGCUGAAUUAAUUGUGGGGUAGGAAAGUUCAAGUAUAGCGCGGUUAUUCAGCGCGCUAUACCUUAACGGACAAACAUGUCGUUAAGGUAUAGCGCGGUGAAUAACUGCGCUAUAUAUAAAAUGAUAGUCAAUUUUUUUGCACCUAUUUUUAUCGUUUGAGUCCAAAAGAAUCACACUUUGGUUCCAGACUCGUUAGGGGAGGAUGUUUGGUUGUGCCGAAGAUGAGUCUACUUUAGGCCAAAUAUAUACGCGGACACCUAAACUUGUCCAAAAUUUUUAUUUAGACACUUGAACUCGGGCUAGUACCUAUUGAACACCUAAAGUCCUCCAAAAGUGUAUUAAUUAGAAAUAUUUUGCUGAGAUAGCCAAAAAAUAAAGUGCGUGCAUUUCAAAUGCAAUUGACCUGGCAAAACAAACCAAUGAGACAGAGACACUUGGAAUUUGAUCCCAAAAAAUUAGGAAAAAAAGUUUUGAGGGGAAAAUAAAAAACUCCAUUAUAGCUACCAUCCCCCAAACAAAACUCUCUUUCUCUCUUCCGAUAUUUCCUUUCAAUUUUUCCAGUAACGUUUUCUUAAAUUUGCAUGAGCUUUUUGCAGCUUAAACACAUGAAGAAUUAGUUGCUGUAGUAUUAAAACGAAGUUAUUAGCAGAAAUUGGGAACUAGAAUUGAUAUAGAGGAGAUCUUGAUGCAACCAUCACUAACCCAGGUGGAAGCUCCAUUAACAGAGAAAAAACAAUGCUUAUAAAAUAUGUAAAGAGGAUAGAUAAAUAAGGAAAAUGUCUCUACUUAGCUAUUCUGAAUUUCAAAUAAGUUUCUGCUUGACAAUUUCAAAUCUUUAAAUUUCUCUUACCUUAAUCGUCUCACCAACUCCCAUAACAAAUGCAAAUUUCUGAUUUCAGUACACAUAUCCAGCAAUCGAUUUUGACUCUGGUUUUCUAUUAUCAAAUUUACAAGGAAAACUUUAGCUGAUGGUGGUGUUACAAUUGGGUGGGAUUGGGAAAACCAGAUCUAAUAUUUUUUUGGAGUGUUCUUGGCGGAGAAGGGAGAAGCGGGCUUGCUUCCGGGCCGGCCAUGAAAAUUUCUGGCAAGGUAGGCCGACCUUCAGGCAAAACCAGAGUAAAAGAAAAA